rnacentral:rRNA from 1 species
UCGCCCUUAGAGUUUGAUCCUGGCUCAAGACGAACGCUGGCGGCGCGCCUAACACAUGCAAGUCAAACGAGCGAGAGAGAGCUUGCUUUCUCAAGCGAGUGGCGAACGGGUGAGUAACGCGUGAGGAACCUGCCUCAAAGAGGGGGACAACAGUUGGAAACGACUGCUAAUACCGCAUAAGCCCACGACCCGGCAUCGGGUAGAGGGAAAAGGAGCAAUCCGCUUUGAGAUGGCCUCGCGUCCGAUUAGCUAGUUGGUGAGGUAAUGGCCCACCAAGGCGACGAUCGGUAGCCGGACUGAGAGGUUGAACGGCCACAUUGGGACUGAGACACGGCCCAGACUCCUACGGGAGGCAGCAGUGGGGAAUAUUGCACAAUGGGGGAAACCCUGAUGCAGCGACGCCGCGUGGAGGAAGAAGGUCUUCGGAUUGUAAACUCCUGUUGUUGAGGAAGAUAAUGACGGUACUCAACAAGGAAGUGACGGCUAACUACGUGCCAGCAGCCGCGGUAAAACGUAGGUCACAAGCGUUGUCCGGAAUUACUGGGUGUAAAGGGAGCGCAGGCGGGAAGACAAGUUGGAAGUGAAAUCCAUGGGCUCAACCCAUGAAUUGCUUUCAAAACUGUUUUUCUUGAGUAGUGCAGAGGUAGGCGGAAUUCCCGGUGUAGCGGUGGAAUGCGUAGAUAUCGGGAGGAACACCAGUGGCGAAGGCGGCCUACUGGGCACCAACUGACGCUGAGGCUCGAAAGUGUGGGUAGCAAACAGGAUUAGAUACCCUGGUAGUCCACACUGUAAACGAUGAUUACUAGGGUGUUGGAGGAUUGACCCCUUCAGUGCCGCAGUUAACACAAUAAGUAAUCCACCUGGGGAGUACGACCGCAAGGUUGAAACUCAAAGGAAUUGACGGGGGCCCGCACAAGCAGUGGAGUAUGUGGUUUAAUUCGACGCAACGCGAAGAACCUUACCAAGUCUUGACAUCCUGCGACGCACAUAGAAAUAUGUUUUUCCUUCGGGACGCAGAGACAGGUGGUGCAUGGUUGUCGUCAGCUCGUGUCGUGAGAUGUUGGGUUAAGUCCCGCAACGAGCGCAACCCUUAUGGUCAGUUACUACGCAAGAGGACUCUGGCCAGACUGCCGUUGACAAAACGGAGGAAGGUGGGGAUGACGUCAAAUCAUCAUGCCCUUUAUGACUUGGGCUACACACGUACUACAAUGGCGUUAAACAAAGAGAAGCAAGACCGCGAGGUGGAGCAAAACUCAGAAACAACGUCCCAGUUCGGACUGCAGGCUGCAACUCGCCUGCACGAAGUCGGAAUUGCUAGUAAUCGCAGAUCAGCAUGCUGCGGUGAAUACGUUCCCGGGCCUUGCACA